UUCCAUGUGUUCCUGGGACCUGUCUGCUGUGGCAAUCUUCUUCCUGCUCAGCCACAGAAGAGCAUGUUUUUGGCAAAAUUGUCACUGUUUAGUUGGUACCAGCUUCUGAUUUGCACAAGUAACAGUU